GUGGGGAAUCUUCCGCAAUGGACGAAAGUCUGACGGAGCGACGCCGCGUGAGUGAAGAAGGCCUUCGGGUCGUAAAGCUCUGUCAUCAGGGACGAACGGCCGGUGGAGUGGAAAGCCACCGGAUUGACGGUACCUGAGAAGGAAGCCACGGCUAACUACGUGCCAGCAGCCGCGGUAAUACGUAGGUGGCAAGCGUUGUCCGGAAUUAUUGGGCGUAAAGCGCGCGCAGGUGGGAUCUUAAGUCCAUUUUUAAAGUUGGGAGCUCAACUCCGUGAUGGGAUGGAAACUGGGAUUCUUGAGUACCGGAGAGGAAAGCGGAAUUCCCCGUGUAGCGGUGAAAUGCGUAGAUAUGGGGAGGAACACCAGUGGCGAAGGCGGCUUUCUGGACGGUGUCUGACACUGAGGCGCGAAAGCCAGGGGAGCGAACGGGAUUAGAAACCCUGGUAGUCC
rnacentral:rRNA from 1 species